UUUUUGUUCCUUCCUUUCUUAUUUAAGUAAUUCUGCCAGUGUUCUGUUUUGCUCAUGGAACAAUUGGGGUCAUUCUAGGAUGAAUUUUAGGCUUAGCAACGGGAAGGAAAUGAGCUUCUGUGAACUGGCUGCCUGUUGCUUAGCAAAAAGUUCUUUGUUGUUACACACCUUACACCCUUAGCGAGCAACUUCUGCAUAUCAAAACGUCCUAUCUGGAAUUGUUGAAGGAACCAUUUGCUGAGGCAAUUCCCAGCCACGAGACCAAUUGGUUUAUCAGGUUCUCUCAUAACUAAGUUUUGCAAAGGCUCCAAGUCCUUCAGGAAGAACUCAGAUAAACAAGAACUAGACACUUCAAACAAAAGAUUAUAUAUCCCACCAAAAUCUUUCAAGAAAUAUAAAAAUUACAACAUGGUUACAUUCUAUUUUUUAAGUGGAUGUUUAUAAUGAAUACAGUACCCCCAACAGAAACCAAACUAAAGAAGAAACAGCUUGUUUUGGCUCACAGAUCAAGGACUAUGGUGGGGAAGUUCGGGAGCAGAAAACUGAGGCAGCCUACCAUCGGCAGUCAAGGAACAGACUGAAUUCAAUUGGGAGCUGUUUCACCCAGAGAGACUACAGUUUUCACCUGCUUCAAUAAAGCUACAACCAGUUCUAAGUGCUGAGCCAACACUGAAUUGCUCUUUUCUGGUUUGCUCGGGCCCUGCCCCUCCUCACAAUGUCUAAUGUUUUCCUCUGAUUCUCGUUUCAUUAAAAGGUGCUAAUUAA